UACAGAGGUCUCAAGCGUUGUUCGGAUUCAUUGGGCGUAAAGGGUGUGUAGGUGGCGCGCUAAGUCGGGUGGUGAAAUUUCGGAGCUUAACUCCGAAACUGCAUUCGAUACUGCCGUGCUUGAGGACUGGAGAGGAGACUGGAAUUUACGGUGUAGCGGUGAAAUGCGUAGAUAUCGUAAGGAAGACCAGUGGCGAAGGCGGGUCUCUGGACAGUUCCUGACGCUGAGGCACGAAAGCGUGGGGAGCAAACGGG
rnacentral:rRNA from 1 species